rnacentral:rRNA from 1 species
GACGAACGCUGGCGGCGUGCUUAACACAUGCAAGUCGAACGAUUAUCUCCCGCUUUCGGGGGUGAUUAGUGUCGAACUGUUGUGUAAUACGUUAGUAACCUGCCCUUUACUCUUUGUUAAGCCUGUGAAACCGGGUCUAAUACUUGAUACUACUUCCUUCCGCAUGGUGGGGGGUGGAAAGUGUUUUACUGGUUUUGGAUGGGCUCACGGCCUAUCAGCUUGUUUGUGGAGUAAUGGGUCACCAAGGCGACGACGGGUAGCCGGCCUGAGGGGGUGACCGGCAAAACUGGGACUGAGAGACGGACCAGAAACGUAAGGGAGGGAGAAGUGGGGAAGAAUGCAAAAAGGGAGGAAGACUGAUGAAGAGAGGGGGGGGGGGGGAUGAAGGGGUUAGGGUUGUAAAAAAGAUUCAGAAGGGAAGAAGCAAGAAGUGACGGUAACUGAAGAAGAAGCGCCGGCUAACUACGUG